GACGAACGCUGGCGGCGUGCCUAAUACAUGCAAGUUGAGCGAUGAAGAUUGGUGCUUGCACCAAUUUGAAGAGCAGCGAACGGGUGAGUAACGCGUGGGGAAUCUGCCUUUGAGCGGGGGACAACAUUUGGAAACGAAUGCUAAUACCGCAUAAUAACUUUAAACAUAAGUUUUAAGUUUGAAAGAUGCAAUUGCAUCACUCAAAGAUGAUCCCGCGUUGUAUUAGCUAGUUGGUGAGGUAAAGGCUCACCAAGGCGAUGAUACAUAGCCGACCUGAGAGGGUGGUCGGCCACAUUGGGACUGGGACACGGCCCAAACUCCUACGGGAGGCAGCAGUAGGGAAUCUUCGGCAAUGGACGAAAGUCUGACCGAGCAACGCCGCGUGAGUGAAGAAGGUUUUCGGAUCGUAAAACUCUGUUGGUAGAGAAGAACGUUGGUGAGAGUGGAAAGCUCAUCAAGUGACGGUAACUACCCAGAAAGGGACGGCUAACUACGUG
rnacentral:rRNA from 1 species